rnacentral:rRNA from 1 species
GACGAACGCUGGCGGCGUGCCUAAUACAUGCAAGUCGAGCGAAGUUUUUCUGGUGCUUGCACCGGAAAAACUUAGCGGCGAACGGGUGAGUAACACGUAAAGAACCUGCCUCAUAGACUGGGACAACUAUUGGAAACGAUAGCUAAUACCGGAUAAUAGCAUUAACUGCAUGGUUGAUGUUUAAAAGUUGGUUUUGCUAACACUAUGAGAUGGCUUUGCGGUGCAUUAGCUAGUUGGUGGGGUAAGGGCCUACCAAGGCGACGAUGCAUAGCCGACCUGAGAGGGUGAUCGGCCACACUGGGACUGAGACACGGCCCAGACUCCUACGGGAGGCAGCAGUAGGGAAUCUUCCGCAAUGGGCGAAAGCCUGACGGAGCAACGCCGCGUGAGUGAAGAAGGAUUUCGGUUCGUAAAGCUCUGUUGUUAGGGAAGAAUGAUUGUGUAGUAACUAUACACAGUAGAGACGGUACCUAACCAGAAAGCCACGGCUAACUACGUG